rnacentral:rRNA from 2 species
UACAGAGGUGGCAAGCGUUGUUCGGAAUUACUGGGCGUAAAGGGCGUGUAGGCGGCUUUUUAAGUCAGACGUGAAAUCCCCCGGCUUAACCUGGGAACUGCGUCUGAUACUGGGAAGCUAGAGUUCGGGAGAGGGAUGUAGAAUUCCAGGUGUAGCGGUGAAAUGCGUAGAUAUCUGGAGGAAUACCGGUGGCGAAGGCGGCAUCCUGGACCGAAACUGACGCUUAAGCGCGAAAGCUAGGGGAGCAAACGGG